rnacentral:misc_RNA from 1 species
ACCGGAAUCACAUCAGAAAUAAUAGGUGGCAAUGCAUUAUCUAGGCCAUCUAAGGCUACUUCCCUAAAGAGUAAUAAAAGUGGUAGCUGUACCUCAUCAAGAGAGGGCACUCCAAACUUGCCAUCAAAUUCAGUUAAUGUGAAGAAAAUGCAGAGAAUGUUCAAGAAUGCUGCCGAAGAGAAUGUUCUGAGCAUUAGAACUUAUGUUACCAAGUUAAAAGAAAGGGUGGCAAAGCUAAAAUGUCAAAAGCAGCUUCCGGUUCACCAGGUGAGGAUAUUUGUUUGCCUUGCAAUUUACAAAUCCCUUAUCUCUUAGUUCACACUUCUCAUCCCCAAAAAUAAUUGGUGCUUUGACAUCAAGGAUAGUCAAUGAGCUAUGCAAGUUUCACUGGCAUUGAAAAUAAUGGAUGUGUGCUGUCAAGAACAGAGUUUUGUCGUUCUGAUCUUUUUCUCUGAUAACUGGUUGUGCUGAAUAUACUGCAUAGGAUACUGCCACUUAAACAUAUAUGAUAGGAUAUAGUCUUACGCCCUCAAAUAAUGAGAACUAAAAAUAUAUGUUCAUGCUGUGCACUGUCAAAAUUCUUAUUUUCUGAUCCCUUGUGAUUGUAGGAGCAAAUUGAAUUAGUGAUGUCAUCUUGGAUACAUCACAAGCCCAAUCUGAUGUGCUUGUUCCUACAAAAUUUUAGGAAAGGAAACAUCCAUGCAUUAUAUUGUUGUUUGUUUCAAUCCUUUUAGUUGUUUGUUUUAUACCAUAUAACAGAAUGCGGAUUGCUACUUAAAUACUUGAUUUUUGUUUUCAUAAUAUACUAGGCUCUUGCCCACACGUUGUGCGGGUAUGAUUGUUAUCGAUAAUUGAAUAAAGAUAUGGCUACGUAGUGUUUACUAUAUUUAUAUUUAAAUUUUUUUUAAAUGUUUUUAAAAAAAUAUUUAUAAAAGCAAUCAUCAAAAUAUGAAAAAAAAAUGAAUAUGAAUAAUAAACAUAAAUUGAAAAUGAAAAUACUUAUAAAGAUAAAAUGCCAAUGAAAUUUAUGUAAAUAAAUUCUAAUAAGAUGAAGAUUUCUUUAGUAAUAUUUGUGCAAAUUGUUAUUCAUUUUCCUCUAAUAUCUUGGUUACUAAAACAUCAUUGGGUAGGUUUGAGAGAAAAUCUUAGUUGGACAUUAUAUUUUCUUUUUGCAUUAAGAGGUGGUUAGUUUGGUUUUUUAUUUGUGAUGUUGGUUUAUAUAGUUCAUGACUAUGACUUUUAAUUUUUCUAGUAUAAAUUAAAUUGUACCUAUUUUCAUAAAUUUUUUAUUAUAAUGAA